rnacentral:rRNA from 1 species
GACGAACGCUGGCGGCGUGCUUAACACAUGCAAGUCGAACGGAAAGGCCCUGCUUUUGUGGGGUGCUCGAGUGGCGAACGGGUGAGUAACACGUGAGUAACCUGCCCUUGACUUUGGGAUAACUUCAGGAAACUGGGGCUAAUACCGGAUAGGAGCUCCUGCUGCAUGGUGGGGGUUGGAAAGUUUCGGCGGUUGGGGAUGGACUCGCGGCUUAUCAGCUUGUUGGUGGGGUAGUGGCUUACCAAGGCUUUGACGGGUAGCCGGCCUGAGAGGGUGACCGGCCACAUUGGGACUGAGAUACGGCCCAGACUCCUACGGGAGGCAGCAGUGGGGAAUAUUGCACAAUGGGCGGAAGCCUGAUGCAGCAACGCCGCGUGCGGGAUGACGGCCUUCGGGUUGUAAACCGCUUUCGCCUGUGACGAAGCGUGAGUGACGGUAAUGGGUAAAGAAGCACCGGCUAACUACGUGCCAGCAGCCGCGGUGAUACGUAGGGUGCGAGCGUUGUCCGGAUUUAUUGGGCGUAAAGGGCUCGUAGGUGGUUGAUCGCGUCGGAAGUGUAAUCUUGGGGCUUAACCCUGAGCGUGCUUUCGAUACGGGUUGACUUGAGGAAGGCAGGGGAGAAUGGAAUUCCUGGUGGAGCGGUGGAAUGCGCAGAUAUCAGGAGGAACACCAGUGGCGAAGGCGGUUCUCUGGGCCUUUCCUGACGCUGAGGAGCGAAAGCGUGGGGAGCGAACAGGCUUAGAUACCCUGGUAGUCCACGCUGUAAACGGUGGGUACUAGGUGUGGGGUCCAUUCCACGGGUUCCGUGCCGUAGCUAACGCUUUAAGUACCCCGCCUGGGGAGUACGGCCGCAAGGCUAAAACUCAAAGGAAUUGACGGGGCCCCGCACAAGCGGCGGAGCAUGCGGAUUAAUUCGAUGCAACGCGUAGAACCUUACCUGGGUUUGACAUGGAUCGGGAGUGCUCAGAGAUGGGUGUGCCUCUUUUGGGGUCGGUUCACAGGUGGUGCAUGGCUGUCGUCAGCUCGUGUCGUGAGAUGUUGGGUUAAGUCCCGCAACGAGCGCAACCCUUGUUCACUGUUGCCAGCACGUUAUGGUGGGGACUCAGUGGAGACCGCCGGGGUCAACUCGGAGGAAGGUGGGGAUGACGUCAAGUCAUCAUGCCCCUUAUGUCCAGGGCUUCACGCAUGCUACAAUGGCUGGUACAGAGAGUGGCGAGCCUGUGAGGGUGAGCGAAUCUCGGAAAGCCGGUCUCAGUUCGGAUUGGGGUCUGCAACUCGACCUCAUGAAGUCGGAGUCGCUAGCAAUCGCAGAUCAGCAACGCUGCGGUGAAUACGUUCCCGGG